UGCAAUCAAUGAUGAAUAAAAGCGUAUAAUUCAGUGAUUAUUAAAACACUAGAUCACCAUCUUUCGGCUGAGAUUGCA
rfam:Brassica oleracea var. oleracea cultivar TO1000 chromosome C7, whole genome shotgun sequence